rnacentral:lncRNA from 1 species
CCAGAUACAGAUGAAAUGGUUUUCUCUCCUUUUUAGAGAAGUCAAUUCCUCCUCCCCCGAGGGGUACUUCAGUAUUCCUUUCUUUUAAUUCCUGGUCCUGAUGGCUUUCCGGGUUAUUUAACCGAUUAUACGUAUAUUAGGUCUGACCGAGAGUCUACUACACCGUUCCCCUGCUGAAUCAUCAGUGUGAGGGAACUCAUGGCUGGAGGUCCUG